ensembl:lncRNA
CAUAUCACUGUUUGCUCAACGUUUAUGAUAACUGAGAGAUACCUCUUUGACUAUAAAGCAAUGAAAACUUAAAGUUAUUAUCUACUUCCAGAGGACUGGGGAGCUUAUUUACUGAAUCAUACAGCAAUGUAUCGUUCAGAUAAGUUAGCAUUUGGUCUGGAAAAUUGUGAAAUACGAUAUUUCAACACUUCUCCUCUCCUGCCAAGGGAGCUUCGGAAUCACAGAAGACAGUUUAUUUUGAACAUAUGGAAAAGAUGAGGAAUGUCCUCCCAGAGAUAACCAUCUCUAACCUGCAGUUGACAGGAUCUUCAGACCUUCUCCAGCUAUUAGACGUUACUUUUGUACAUUAGGACAGCGGGAGUCACGUGAGGAGCAACCAUACCUUUAACACCCAUUUCUCUGGCUCAUGAGGACACAGUGCAUCACCAACCAGUGAGCAAGACAGAUCUGAGGAGAUUUUCCAAGUACUUGAUGGCAGCCUUAAGUUAAAUUAAUGCAUCUGAAGGAAGCAAAAGUGUCUCAUUACAAAAUACAAACUCCAAACACUGUAGGAGUAGAAGCAUUUAACAUGAAGAGAUGAGUUUGCAGUGCAGGGAUGGUCACACCCAGGCAAGGGAGAAGAAGGAAGCAAAUCACAGCAAAUCACAGAAUCUAAUGCAGUCUGCGCCAAGGGCAGUCAUCAAGGUUGAUUGUGGGUUUAUUGUUGCCAGCCAGACUCCCUGCUCCAGCAGGUGCCAGGCACCCUGAAUUACUCCCAUUGCACAUCGCUCCAUGGGGCAGUGAGUAAGCUGAUGAAUUCUGCUUGUUUCAUCUGGGAGGCAACUGCCUCCCUUUCUCCACAAGGAACAUCCCACAUAUAAUAAAGGUUUAUAGUCAACCAGAGCAAGACUUCAAACUCAUUCCUUCCAGAUUCAUUCAUGACGAGGGUGGGGAUGCUAGACUGCUCUGCAAUGUUUAACUCAACAAAUACUAAAAUCUCCAGAGCAAUGGCCCUUUAUCACUCCUGGUUGCUGCAGAUACAGAAUCAAAGGGCUAGCAAGCAUGUCCUGUCAGCAUAUGGUUACCCAAACUGAAACUGGAUGCAAGGUAUUUAAUAAAACACAGCUAGGAAAUAAAUGCUAUGUAUGCUAAAAAAAUCAUUACCUUGGUCAACAAACAAACCUUGGAGACUAGAGCGCAGGCCUAUCACAAAUAUUCCAAGUAUUGCUCUGUGAUGUACAGAGAGAAUUACAGCCUAAAAGACAUAGGGAGUUCUUGUCAUGAGCAGAGUGCUGAGUUUUUAGGGUUACACCUAAAGAAAAAUGGGGAGCAACUCUGGAGAGUGUGGGAACAAGAGCGGCCAGAGGUCCUGAAAACAUGAUUAGCAAAGGAAAGCUGCAUGAAUCGAGGGGAUAAAAAAAGAAGACAGGGCAGGAGAGAAGAAAUGUCAAUAAUCUUCAAAUACAUACACAUAAAGAAGCUGCAAAGAGGAAGGGACAGCUGUACUAGCAAUGUCCAGAAAAGACAGAAGUAAUGGGCUCAAACUGCCGCCAAGAAGAUUUAAAACAGACAAGGGUUAGGACAGUGACAGCAAGAGUAGACUGCUGUGAGAGUCUUUAGGGUCUCAGUCAUUAGAGAUCUCUCAAGCAUCUGUCAGCAACAGAGUACUCAUAGUCCAUCCUAAUCUCACAACUCUGCAAAACAGAAAUGAUGUACCAUCAGCCAAGAUUUCAGGUAACAACCUUAGUUUUUAUUCAAAAUGAAAUAUCAUGCAGUAUAG